rnacentral:lncRNA from 1 species
GAGCUAGGAUGACAACCACUCCCACCGGCGACCUUUGAGGCCAGAGAGGCAGUCCCCGACGUUGCUAAUCGGCCAAAUCCGAUGACCGAUGAUGACAAGUGGUGGCAGAAAAAAUCAAAAUAAAACAGAAAAUAGGGAACUCAAAAAAUAAUGAUUUUUGAAGAGAUUUUUAGCAAAAAUUCAAGAUUAAAACCUUUGAAAGAUUGAGG